rnacentral:rRNA from 1 species
AACGAACGCUGGCGGCGCGUCUUAAACAUGCAAGUCGAACGAUCUGUAGCAAUACAGGGAGUGGCGGACGGGUGAGGAACACGUAGGAAUCUACCUUGAAGAGCGGGACAACUUUGGGAAACCGGGGCUAAUACCGCAUAGUACAGAGAUGUUAAAGGGCUAGCAAUAGUCGCUUCGAGAUGAGCCUGCGGUCUAUCAGCUUGUUGGUGAGGUAAUGGCUCACCAAGGCUACGACGGAUAGCCGGUCUGAGAGGAUGAUCGGCCACACUGGCACUGAGACACGGGCCAGACUCCUACGGGAGGCAGCAGUUAAGAAUCUUGCGCAAUGGGGGAAACCCUGACGCAGCGACGCCGCGUGAAGGAUGAAGGCUUUCGGGUUGUAAACGUUCGGUAGACUGGGAAGAAGAAAUACGUUCGUUGAGGGCGUAUAGUGACGGUACCAGUCUGAAGCCCCGGCUAAUUACGUGCCAGCAGCCGCGGUAAU